rnacentral:rRNA from 1 species
CAGCAGCCGCGGGAAUACGUAGGGUGCGAGCGUUAAUCGGAAUUACUGGGCGUAAAGCGUGCGCAGGCGGUUAUAUAAGACAGAUGUGAAAUCCCCGGGCUCAGCCUGGGACCUGCAUUUGUGACUGUAUAGCUAGAGUACGGUAGAGGGGGAUGGAAUUCCGCGUGUAGCAGUGAAAUGCGUAGAUAUGCGGAGGAACACCGAUGGCGAAGGCAAUCCCCUGGACCUGUACUGACGCUCAUGCACGAAAGCGUGGGGAGCAAACAGGAUUAGAUACCCCCGUAGUCCCUGUCUCUUAUAC